rnacentral:rRNA from 1 species
GGUUAAGCGACUAAGCGUACACGGUGGAUGCCCUGGCAGUCAGAGGCGAUGAAGGACGUGCUAAUCUGCGAUAAGCGUCGGUAAGGUGAUAUGAACCGUUAUAACCGGCGAUUUCCGAAUGGGGAAACCCAGUGUGUUUCGACACACUAUCAUUAACUGAAUCCAUAGGUUAAUGAGGCGAACCGGGGGAACUGAAACAUCUAAGUACCCCGAGGAAAAGAAAUCAACCGAGAUUCCCCCAGUAGCGGCGAGCGAACGGGGAGCAGCCCAGAGCCUGAAUCAGUGUGUGUGUUAGUGGAAGCGUCUGGAAAGGCGCGCGAUACAGGGUGACAGCCCCGUACACAAAAAUGCACAUGCUGUGAGCUCGAUGAGUAGGGCGGGACACGUGGUAUCCUGUCUGAAUAUGGGGGGACCAUCCUCCAAGGCUAAAUACUCCUGACUGACCGAUAGUGAACCAGUACCGUGAGGGAAAGGCGAAAAGAACCCCGGCGAGGGGAGUGAAAAAGAACCUGAAACCGUGUACGUACAAGCAGUGGGAGCACGCUUAGGCGUGUGACUGCGUACCUUUUGUAUAAUGGGUCAGCGACUUAUAUUCUGUAGCAAGGUUAACCGAAUAGGGGAGCCGAAGGGAAACCGAGUCUUAACUGGGCGUUAAGUUGCAGGGUAUAGACCCGAAACCCGGUGAUCUAGCCAUGGGCAGGUUGAAGGUUGGGUAACACUAACUGGAGGACCGAACCGACUAAUGUUGAAAAAUUAGCGGAUGACUUGUGGCUGGGGGUGAAAGGCCAAUCAAACCGGGAGAUAGCUGGUUCUCCCCGAAAGCUAUUUAGGUAGCGCCUCGUGAAUUCAUCUCCGGGGGUAGAGCACUGUUUCGGCAAGGGGGUCAUCCCGACUUACCAACCCGAUGCAAACUGCGAAUACCGGAGAAUGUUAUCACGGGAGACACACGGCGGGUGCUAACGUCCGUCGUGAAGAGGGAAACAACCCAGACCGCCAGCUAAGGUCCCAAAGUCAUGGUUAAGUGGGAAACGAUGUGGGAAGGCCCAGACAGCCAGGAUGUUGGCUUAGAAGCAGCCAUCAUUUAAAGAAAGCGUAAUAGCUCACUGGUCGAGUCGGCCUGCGCGGAAGAUGUAACGGGGCUAAACCAUGCACCGAAGCUGCGGCAGCGACGCUGAUGCGUUGUUGGGUAGGGGAGCGUUCUGUAAGCCUGCGAAGGUGUGCUGUGAGGCAUGCUGGAGGUAUCAGAAGUGCGAAUGCUGACAUAAGUAACGAUAAAGCGGGUGAAAAGCCCGCUCGCCGGAAGACCAAGGGUUCCUGUCCAACGUUAAUCGGGGCAGGGUGAGUCGACCCCUAAGGCGAGGCCGAAAGGCGUAGUCGAUGGGAAACAGGUUAAUAUUCCUGUACUUGGUGUUACUGCGAAGGGGGGACGGAGAAGGCUAUGUUGGCCGGGCGACGGUUGUCCCGGUUUAAGCGUGUAGGCUGGUUUUCCAGGCAAAUCCGGAAAAUCAAGGCUGAGGCGUGAUGACGAGGCACUACGGUGCUGAAGCAACAAAUGCCCUGCUUCCAGGAAAAGCCUCUAAGCAUCAGGUAACAUCAAAUCGUACCCCAAACCGACACAGGUGGUCAGGUAGAGAAUACCAAGGCGCUUGAGAGAACUCGGGUGAAGGAACUAGGCAAAAUGGUGCCGUAACUUCGGGAGAAGGCACGCUGAUAUGUAGGUGAAGUCCCUCGCGGAUGGAGCUGAAAUCAGUCGAAGAUACCAGCUGGCUGCAACUGUUUAUUAAAAACACAGCACUGUGCAAACACGAAAGUGGACGUAUACGGUGUGACGCCUGCCCGGUGCCGGAAGGUUAAUUGAUGGGGUUAGCCGCAAGGCGAAGCUCUUGAUCGAAGCCCCGGUAAACGGCGGCCGUAACUAUAACGGUCCUAAGGUAGCGAAAUUCCUUGUCGGGUAAGUUCCGACCUGCACGAAUGGCGUAAUGAUGGCCAGGCUGUCUCCACCCGAGACUCAGUGAAAUUGAACUCGCUGUGAAGAUGCAGUGUACCCGCGGCAAGACGGAAAGACCCCGUGAACCUUUACUAUAGCUUGACACUGAACAUUGAGCCUUGAUGUGUAGGAUAGGUGGGAGGCUUUGAAGUGUGGACGCCAGUCUGCAUGGAGCCGACCUUGAAAUACCACCCUUUAAUGUUUGAUGUUCUAACGUUGACCCGUAAUCCGGGUUGCGGACAGUGUCUGGUGGGUAGUUUGACUGGGGCGGUCUCCUCCUAAAGAGUAACGGAGGAGCACGAAGGUUGGCUAAUCCUGGUCGGACAUCAGGAGGUUAGUGCAAUGGCAUAAGCCAGCUUGACUGCGAGCGUGACGGCGCGAGCAGGUGCGAAAGCAGGUCAUAGUGAUCCGGUGGUUCUGAAUGGAAGGGCCAUCGCUCAACGGAUAAAAGGUACUCCGGGGAUAACAGGCUGAUACCGCCCAAGAGUUCAUAUCGACGGCGGUGUUUGGCACCUCGAUGUCGGCUCAUCACAUCCUGGGGCUGAAGUAGGUCCCAAGGGUAUGGCUGUUCGCCAUUUAAAGUGGUACGCGAGCUGGGUUUAGAACGUCGUGAGACAGUUCGGUCCCUAUCUGCCGUGGGCGCUGGAGAACUGAGGGGGGCUGCUCCUAGUACGAGAGGACCGGAGUGGACGCAUCACUGGUGUU